GGCGAACGGGUGAGUAACACGUGAGUAACCUGCCCCGGACUCUGGAAUAAGCGCUGGAAACGGCGUCUAAUACCGGAUACGAGACGCAACCGCAUGGUUAGUGUCUGGAAAGUUUUUCGGUCUGGGAUGGACUCGCGGCCUAUCAGCUUGUUGGUGAGGUAAUGGCUCACCAAGGCGACGACGGGUAGCCGGCCUGAGAGGGCGACCGGCCACACUGGGACUGAGACACGGCCCAGACUCCUACGGGAGGCAGCAGUGGGGAAUAUUGCACAAUGGGCGAAAGCCUGAUGCAGCGACGCCGCGUGAGGGAUGACGGCCUUCGGGUUGUAAACCUCUUUCAGCAGGGAAGAAGCGAAAGUGACGGUACCUGCAGAAGAAGCACCGGCUAACUACGUGCCAGCAGCCGCGGUAAUACGUAGGGUGCGAGCGUUGUCCGGAAUUAUUGGGCGUAAAGAGCUUGUAGGCGGUUUGUCGCGUCUGCUGUGAAAAUCCGGGGCUCAACCCCGGACUUGCAGUGGGUACGGGCAGACUAGAGUGUGGUAGGGGAGACUGGAAUUCCUGGUGUAGCGGUGAAAUGCGCAGAUAUCAGGAGGAACACCGAUGGCGAAGGCAGGUCUCUGGGCCACUACUGACGCUGAGAAGCGAAAGCAUGGGGAGCGAACAGGAUUAGAUACCCUGGUAGUCCAUGCCGUAAACGUUGGGCGCUAGGUGUGGGACUCAUUCCACGAGUUCCGUGCCGCAGCUAACGCA
rnacentral:rRNA from 1 species